rnacentral:rRNA from 1 species
AUGAACGCUAGCGACAGGCCUAACACAUGCAAGUCGAGGGGCAGCACAAGGAGCAAUCUGAGGUGGCGACCGGCGCACGGGUGAGUAACACGUAUGCAACCUGCCUGUAAGCGGGGAAUAACCCGUUGAAAGACGGACUAAUACCGCAUAAUACUAAAUUACUGCAUGGUAAUUUAUUUAAACAUUUAUGGCUUACAGAUGGGCAUGCGCAUGAUUAGCUAGUUGGAGAGGUAACGGCUCCCCAAGGCAACGAUCAUUAGGGGUUCUGAGAGGAAGGUCCCCCGCACUGGUACUGAGACACGGACCAGACUCCUACGGGAGGCAGCAGUGAGGAAUAUUGGUCAAUGGACGAGAGUCUGAACCAGCCAAGUCGCGUGCAGGAAGAAUGUCCUUAAUGGAUUGUAAACUGCUUUUGCAGGGGAAUAAAGUGCAUCACGUGUGAUGUUUUGUAUGUACUCUGCGAAUAAGGAUCGGCUAACUCCGUGCCAGCAGCGGC